rnacentral:rRNA from 1 species
CCUACGGGGGGCAGCAGUGGGGAAUAUUGGACAAUGGGCGAAAGCCUGAUCCAGCAAUGCCGCGUGAGUGAUGAAGGCCUUAGGGUUGUAAAGCUCUUUUACCCGGGAUGAUAAUGACAGUACCGGGAGAAUAAGCUCCGGCUAACUCCGUGCCAGCNGCCG